GGAUUCUUAACCACUGGACCACCAGAGAAAUCUGAUGCUGUAUUUUUAAUAUUAUUUUGUCCACAAAUUCUUUCUUGUGACCUCUCUUUCUUUUCCUUCCAGAAGACAACAUGGUGAAUGUUAAAGACUAUAUGAAGACUCUGAGUGACACCCAGAAACUUUCCAGUUUUAUUGGAACAGAAGAUCCUUGUAACAUUGUUAAUAGUGUCUCUGAUGGGAAAGUUGCAGUUAAAGACUUUUUAUCUACCUUGGAGAAACCUUUGAGUAAAGAACAACUUAGAAACUCUGCAACAGAUGAUUUAUAUAAAGAGAUUACAACUCUUGAAAAGAUCAGAAGUGAUAAGAUGCCUAUAAAUGAACUGAGCUCCCAAUUCUUGAGUGCUGGAGUUCCAUUAAGCAACAAGGCAUUCCAGGAGAUUCUGAAUGAAACAUCUACUGAUGGUGAGUUUUUUGAAAGAACAGUCUGUAUUGUUCUGAGCUUUAUGAAACCUUAGUUUUACUGUGUACAUGGAAUAUCUGUUGUGUAUGUGUAUAUUUUAGACAAACUAGUUCUUAGAAAUAUAAUGAGAACAUAGGCAUAUUGAAAACUAAUUAAAAUUAACUUUUUCUGGAAAUAUUCUUAAGAUAUAUCUGUUUAUCUGGCAUCAAACCUAUAAAAUGUAUAUAUCAAUAUUUAAUUAUUUAAGCUGAAUAAGUUAAUAUAAUUAGAUUUUCCCCUUUCCUUUGAGAGAACAGAUUAUGGGUAAAAGUAUACAGCAUACUAAAAAUCAGAGACAUUACUUUGCCAACAAAGGUCCGUCUAGUCAAGGCUAUGGUUUUUCCAGUAGUCAUGUGUGGAUGUGAGAGUUGGACUAUAAGGAAAGCUGAGCACUGAAGAAUUGAUGCUUUUGAACUGUGGUGUUGGAGAAAUUCUUGAGAAUCCCUUGGACUGCAUGGAGAUUCAACCAGUCCAUCCUAAAGGAGAUCAGUCCUGGGUGUUCAUUGGAAGGACUGAUGCUGAAGCUGAAACUCCAAUACUUUGGCCACCUGAUGUGAAGAGCUGACUCCUUUGAAAAGACCCUGAUGCUGGGAAAGAUUGACGGCAGGAAGAGAAGGGGAUGACAGAGAAUGAGAUGGUUGGAUGGCAUCACCAACUCGACGGACAUGGGUUUGGGUGGACGCCAGGAGUUGGUGAUGGACAGGGAGGCCUGGCAUGCUGUGGUUCAUAGGGUUGCAAAGAGUCGGACAUGACUGAGUGACUGAACUGACUGAUUUUAAAUUAAUUGGUUUUUAUCCAACUACUUUUCAGAAAUUAUAAAAUUUGCUCACCCACCUCUCUCUGUUAUGGUUAUUUAAUAAUUAUUAGCAUUUACAACUUGCCAUUUCAUAACCCUUAUACUUUACUUUUUAGAAAUUGGUGAAGUAAAUCUCAAACAAAAUUUGGAAACUUUUAACACAAGUAAGCCAGUUUCUGAAUUUAAAGAUGAGUCAAUAACUUUCCUUUUAGAUAUUUGUCGUAGUUUGCAUUGUAUUUUGUCAUUAUUAUUAUUUUUAAGUGCUGUUGUG
rnacentral:lncRNA from 1 species